rnacentral:rRNA from 1 species
CCUACGGGUGGCAGCAGUGAGGAAUAUUGGUCAAUGGUCGAGAGUCUGAACCAGCCAAGUCGCGUGAAGGAUGACUGCCCUAUGGGUUGUAAACUUCUUUUAUAUGGGAAUAAAAUGUUCCACGUGUGGGAUUUUGUAUGUACCAUAUGAAUAAGGAUCGGCUAACUCCGUGCCAGCAGCCGCGGUAAUACGGAGGAUCCGAGCGUUAUCCGGAUUUAUUGGGUUUAAAGGGAGCGUAGGUGGCUUGUUAAGUCUGUUGUGAAAGUUUGCGGCUCAACCGGAGAAUUGCAGUUGAAACUGGCAGUCUUGAGUACAGGAGAGGUAGGCGGAAUUCGUGGUGUAGCGGUGAAAUGCUUAGAUAUCACGAAGAACUCCGAUUGCGAAGGCAGCUUACUGGACUGCAACUGACGCUGAGGCUCGAAAGUGUGGGUAUCAAACAGGAUUAGAUACCCUUGUAGUC